GGCUCAAGUAAGUUUUCAAGUAUAACAUUUUAAAGGCACCUGUGUAAGAGCUGAAGUAGAUAAAACGUAAAAGCCAACAGUUUUGCAUUUGUUAAAGCAGAUUUUUUAAGGAACUCCAUGUGUCUUCUAGUGCACUAAAAAUACAUUCUCACCUUUGUUGUUUCUUGGGUAAUGUUGGGAAAGAAAGGACCCAAUUAUUCCCUGAUAGUAUAAUUUUACUUGUUUUACAGGACAGAAAGUUAUCUAAGCUCAAUAGUUCUGAGAAAUGUCUUCAUCUAGGAGCAUUCCCUCUGUUUCUUAGAAGUUUGAAUUUGGGAGAAAGGUUGACAAUCUGGGGAAAAAAAAAAAAGACGAAGCGAAAGGAACAGCAUGCUCAGGAGGGCACACACCACGCCAGUUCCCUUGCUUCUAAUGGUUAUCACGUACCAACCCAAGUGGCUGCCGCCUUAUUAAUCAUCAUAUUCAUGAAAAGCUCUACUACUAUGAGAAGUAGAACCCUGUGCCCAUCCUCCACAGCACAGCAGUCUUGGCUGAUGAUGUCUGUAUGA
rnacentral:lncRNA from 1 species